rfam:Picea glauca, whole genome shotgun sequence.
AAUCCUAAGAUAUGGGGAAUCCUUGUAUCAAGUGUGCACUCUGCAUGAACAUCGAAAGAGAAUUGGGUUAAUAUUCUUGAAUCGAGACAUGGUGGUGGACGACAAUGUUAGGAAAUCUGGAGAUGUCAUCAGGGGCCUGGGAAGAGUUAUCUUUUCUUUUUAAUGACUUUCCCACCCUAAAAUUGGUUCAACCAGAGAUAGGGUCCAACACCUGGAAGAGAACCACAAGUCUUGUGGUGUUUGGUUCCCCCUCAGCGGCCAUUGAAAAUAUGGAGAACUGAGUACCAUUCAUGCCCGAUCAUACUCAUAUCUUCCUCCUUAGA